CCUACGGGAGGCAGCAGUGAGGAAUAUUGGUCAAUGGACGAAAGUCUGAACCAGCCAAGUAGCGUGAAGGAUGACGGCCCUAUGGGUUGUAAACUUCUUUUAUAUGGGAAUAAAACAGGGUAUGCAUACCCUCUUGUAUGUGCCCUAUGAGUAAGGAUCGGCUAACUCCGUGCCAGCAGCCGCGGUAUUACGGAGGAUCCGAGCGUUAUCCGGAUUUAUUGGGUUUAGAGGGAGCGUAGGUGGAUUGUUAAGUCAGUUGUGAAAGUUUGCGGCUCAACCGUAAAAUUGCAGUUGAAACUGGUAGUCUUGAGUGCAGUAGAGGUGGGCGGAAUUCGUGGUGUAGCGGUGAAAUGCUUAGAUAUCACGAAGAACUCCGAUUGCGAAGGCAGCUGACUGGACUGCAACUGACACUGAGGCUCGAAAGUGUGGGUAUCAAACAGGAUUAGAUACCCUAGUAGUC
rnacentral:rRNA from 1 species